rnacentral:piRNA from 1 species
UGCUUGGUACAUAGAUUUUCCUGCUAGCCUC